rnacentral:rRNA from 1 species
GGUUCAUUCAAAUUUCUGCCCUAUCAACUUUCGAUGGUAAGGUAUUGGCUUACCAUGGUUUCAACGGGUAACGGGGAAUUAGGGUUCGAUUCCGGAGAGGGAGCCUGAGAAACGGCUACCACAUCCAAGGAAGGCAGCAGGCGCGCAAAUCACCCAAUCCCGACCGGGGAGGUCGUGACAAUAAAUACUGAUACAGGGCUCUUUUGGGUCUUGUAAUUGGAAUGAGUACAAUUUAAACCUCUUAACGAGGAACAAUUGGAGGGCAAGUCUGGUGCCAGCAGCCGCGGUAAUUCCAGCUCCAAUAGCGUAUAUUAAAGUUGUUGCAGUUAAAAAGCUCGUAGUUG